GAUGAACGCUGGCGGCGUGCCUAAUACAUGCAAGUCGAGCGAACGGACGAGAAGCUUGCCUCUCUGAUGUUAGCGGCGGACGGGUGAGUAACACGUGGAUAACCUACCUAUAAGACUGGGAUAACUUCGGGAAGCCGGAGCUAAUACCGGAUAAUAUUUUGAACCGCAUGGUUCAAAAGUGAAAGACGGUCUUGCUGUCACUUAUAGAUGGAUCCGCGCUGCAUUAGCUAGUUGGUAAGGUAACGGCUUACCAAGGCAACGAUGCAUAGCCGACCUGAGAGGGUGAUCGGCCACACUGGAACUGAGACACGGUCCAGACUCCUACGGGAGGCAGCAGUAGGGAAUCUUCCGCAAUGGGCGAAAGCCUGACGGAGCAACGCCGCGUGAGUGAUGAAGGUCUUCGGAUCGUAAAACUCUGUUAUUAGGGAAGAACAUAUGUGUAAGUAACUGUGCACAUCUUGACGGUACCUAAUCAGAAAGCCACGGCUAACUACGUG
rnacentral:rRNA from 1 species